CAAAUGUUUGAUUUUGGCUUAAGUUUUUAUGUUAUAUUUAAGAUUGUAUGAAAAUUAAAGUGUGAAUAUAAAAAUUAAUUUUAUAUUAAUUACCUUUAAAAAGAGAAAGAGCUAUGAAAUUUCAAGUCUCAGCAUAAAAUAUUACAUAAAAUGCACUAAAGUGUGAUGUAGUAAUUAUAAUUAAUCUGAUAAAUAUUUGUGCCAGCAUUCGCGGUUAUACUUUAGGAUUGAGUAAAAGGGGUUUGGGUUAAUUAGUUAGACGUUAAGAAUUUUUAGAAAAUUAUAAGUAAUGUCAAGUGAAAUUGAUUAUUAAUGCUUGUAUAAAAUAAAUAAUGGAAGUUGAAGCUAAGAAGGUUUAAUAAGAGACUAGGAUUAGAUACCCUAUUAUUGAAAAGUGAAAAGGUUAAAAGCUUAAUUAGUGAGAGAUAAAUACUUAAAAUUUAAAAGAUUUGGCGGUAAUUUAAUCUUUUCAGAGGAAUCUGUUUCUUAAUCGAUAAGCCACGAAGAAUCUUACUUACUUUUGUUAACAAAUAAUUAGUUUGUAUACCAUCAUUAGCAAAUAAUUUUUAAAGAAGAAAUUAUUUAGAGUAAAAAAAUAUAGAAAUUAGAUCAUGGUGCAGCUUAUAGGUAAGGUGGAAUGGAUUACAAUAAAUCAUUUUAUUACGGACUAGUAAGGUAAGUUUUACUAUGAAGGAGGAUUUGAUUGUAUUUAAAGUUUAAUAAGCUAUAAAGACAUAGGCUCUAAAUUAUGUACAUAUCGCCCGUCGCUUUCAUCUAUAAGUGAAAUAAGUCGUAACAUAGUAGGUGUACUGGAAGGUGUAUCUAGAAUUAU
rnacentral:ncRNA from 1 species